GUGGGGAAUCUUGCGCAAUGGGCGAAAGCCUGACGCAGCCAUGCCGCGUGAAUGAUGAAGGUCUUAGGAUUGUAAAAUUCUUUCACCGGGGACGAUAAUGACGGUACCCGGAGAAGAAGCCCCGGCUAACUUCGUGCCAGCAGCCGCGGUAAUACGAAGGGGGCUAGCGUUGCUCGGAAUUACUGGGCGUAAAGGGCGCGUAGGCGGAUCGUUAAGUCAGGGGUGAAAUCCCAGAGCUCAACUCUGGAACUGCCCUUGAUACUGGCGAUCUUGAGUGUGAGAGAGGUAUGUGGAACUCCGAGUGUAGAGGUGAAAUUCGUAGAUAUUCGGAAGAACACGAGUGGCGAAGGCGACAUACUGGCUCAUUACUGACGCUGAGGCGCGAAAGCGUGGGGAGCAAACAGGAUUAGAUACCCGUGUAGUCC
rnacentral:rRNA from 1 species